CCCCUCCUUUCCCCUCUUUUCCUCUCUCCCCCUCCCUCCUCGCUCACCUCCCCUCUCCUCACCCUCCAUCCCUCUCAUUUCCUCCUCCUUUUCUUCUCCCUCCUUCAGCCUUCCCCACCCUUUCUUUCUUUCUCUCCCCCUCCCUCUCUCCUCUCCUUUUCUCCCCCUCCCUGCCUCCCCCUCCCUCUCCCUUCUCCCUCUCCCUCCAAGUCUGGCACUGAACGCGAACUGUUUUGCUUUGCUCCGGGAAGAGUGCAGACACAGAACGUGAAAUCCCGAGCUUUUUGCGUGGUGCAUUUAGAAUGCUUCCUUAUUUAUAUUACCCUCAUUCCCCCACCCCACCCACCCCCUCACCAGUCCUUCCAAAUUUCCCUAGAAAUCUAUGUAGAGCGCGCGGAGGGGAACAUUUGCACAAAAAGUGAAGGAGCUCGCCAAGGAGUUCCCGUUUGGGUAGUCAGACCUGUCCUGACAGCCAGCCAGCCGGAGGUCUACACGAGGGUUGGCCAUGGAAGGAGGGAGUCCCAGAGGCCUCAGGGACUGGCAAGUCUGAACGAAUGAGCACCCGAGUCCCAGGAAAUGUCAAGUUUUAUCCUCUAAAGAACCUCGGAGACUUUUUUAAAGGUGAAACUUUUCAUCUUUAGGUAAGGAAACGUUUUCUAUUGUUUAUCCAUCUAUUGAAAAGAGAACAUUUCAUUUAGAGGAAAGAAGUAUCAUGAACUUAAGCUUUGCCUAUGCUAACUGAUAUAAGAUAUUAUAAAGACGAUAGAGAGCUGGGUUUUUAAGUUAAAUAAAACAAACUAGUUGAAAAUUUUUCA
rnacentral:lncRNA from 1 species